rfam:Triticum aestivum genome assembly, contig: Triticum_aestivum_CS42_TGACv1_scaffold_641076_T_4BS-0.171429_6BL-0.170307
UCUGCUUCUCUUAACAGUAUUCGUGCCUGUGAAUUAAUUUCUAUGGUUCCUGGGUAAUGAGGAGAUGGGAAGCAGAAAUUAAUGUUCCUCUCGCUAUCCAGUGCAGAACUUCUUGUGUUGCGAUUGGACGUCGAGGAACUACACUU